rnacentral:rRNA from 1 species
UACGAAGGGGGCUAGCGUUGCUCGGAAUCACUGGGCGUAAAGGGUGCGUAGGCGGGUCUUUAAGUCAGGGGUGAAAUCCUGGAGCUCAACUCCAGAACUGCCUUUGAUACUGAAGAUCUUGAGUUCGGGAGAGGUGAGUGGAACUGCGAGUGUAGAGGUGAAAUUCGUAGAUAUUCGCAAGAACACCAGUGGCGAAGGCGGCUCACUGGCCCAUAACUGACGCUGAGGCACGAAAGCGUGGGAGCAAACAGGG